rnacentral:rRNA from 1 species
AACGAACGCUGGCGGCAGGCCUAACACAUGCAAGUCGAGCGCGCCUUCGCGUGAGCGGCGGGCGGGUGGGUAACCCGUCGGAAUAUGCCCUUCUCUAUGGACUAGCCCUGGGAAACUGGGGGUAAUACCGUAUACGCCCUUAGGGGGGACGACUGAUCGGGAUAGGAUUAGCCCGCGUUAGAUUAGGGGGGUGGUGGGGUGGUGUCCUGGCAAAGCGACGUUCCGUAGCUGUUGUGGGAGACUGAUCAUCCGCACUGGGACUGCGACACGGGCCAGACCCCUACGGGGGGGAGCAGUGGGGUAUAUUAGGCGCUGAAGGCAACCCUAGUAUAGCCGUGCCGCGUGUGUGAUGAAGGGCUUAGGAUUGUAAAGCUCUUUCAGCUGGGAAGAGAGUGACGGUACCAGCAGAAGAAGCCCCGGCUAACUCCGUG